AUACGGAGGGAGCAAGCGUUGUUCGGAAUCACUGGGCGUAAAGCGAGUGUAGGUUGUCAGGUAAGUAGGAUGUGAAAGCCCGGGGCUCAACCCCGGAAUUGCAUUCUAAACUGCCUGGCUAGAGUCCCGGAGAGGGAGGUGGAAUUCCGAGUGUAGAGGUGAAAUUCGUAGAUAUUCGGAGGAACACCAGAGGCGAAGGCGACCUCCUGGACGGUGACUGACACUGAGACUCGAAAGCGUGGGGAGCAAACAGGAUUAGAUACCCUUGUAGUCC
rnacentral:rRNA from 1 species